CGUAGGCCGUCUCGGUACGGCAGC
rnacentral:sRNA from 1 species